UGUCAGUUUAGGGGUUAAAGGUUAUUGUCUGUCAGUUUAGGGGUUAAAGGUUAUUGUCUGUCAGUUUAGGGGUUAAAGGGUUAAAGGUUAUUGUCUGUCAGAUUCAAGGGACCCCCUCCGCUCCUGGAGGGCCCGCUGGCUGUCAGUUUAGGGGUUAAAGGUUAUUGUCUGUCAGAUUCCAGGGACCCCCUCCCCUCCUGGAGGGCCCGCUGGCUGUCAACACCAGACUACAGAACGGACGCAGGCUGUUCACUGGACAACUACAUGGACCAGAAUCCUUCACUGCGGACCAGGAGGGUAACGUGUACACAGGGACGCUGGAUGGGAAGCUGUGGAGGAUCAAUCAGGAGACUCUAACCCUCAUCACCCACAUGGGGCAGGACUUACAGGAGUGUGGUCAGUAACUAACUAACUAACUAACUAACUAACUAACUAACUAACUAACUAACUAACUAACCCUAACUCAUCACCCACAUGGGGCAGGACUUACAGGAGUGUGGUCAGUAACUAACUAACUAACUAACUCUAACGCUAACUAACUACCCAACCCUAACUAACUAACCAACCCUAACGCUAACUAACCCUAACGCAUCACCCACAUGGGACAGGACUUACAGGAGUGUGGUCACUAACUAACUAACUAACUAA